GGUUGUGUGGUGUAACGGUAGCACGUAUCAUUGUGGGAUUCCCUUGGGAACCCCAACGGCCCCGAUACAAUCGCGGUUCGAUUCCGUGCACAGCCA